GACGAACGCUGGCGGCGUGCUUAACACAUGCAAGUCGAACGGAAAGGCCCCCAUCUUGGUGGGGGUGCUCGAGUGGCGAACGGGUGAGUAACACGUGGGUGAUCUGCCCUGUACUUCGGGAUAAGCUUGGGAAACUGGGUCUAAUACCGGAUAGGACCAUGGUUUAGUGUCUCAUGGUGGAAAGAUUAUUGUUUUGGUGCAGGAUGAGCUCGCGGCCUAUCAGCUUGUUGGUGGGGUAAUGGCCUACCAAGGCGUCGACGGGUAGCCGGCCUGAGAGGGUGGACGGCCACAUUGGGACUGAGAUACGGCCCAGACUCCUACGGGAGGCAGCAGUGGGGAAUAUUGCACAAUGGGCGCAAGCCUGAUGCAGCGACGCCGCGUGGGGGAUGACGGCCUUCGGGUUGUAAACUCCUUUCGUUAGGGACGAAGCCACGAUUUUUGGGUGUGGUGACGGUACCUUUGUUAAGAAGCACCGGCUAACUACGUG
rnacentral:rRNA from 1 species